rnacentral:tRNA from 2 species
CGGGGUGUAGCUCAGUUGGCCAGAGUGCCGGUUUUGGGUACCGGACGUCGCGGGUUCGAGUCCCGCCGCCCCGACAA